CUUUUUAGUUCAUUUUUCCUCUCUACUGAUUUUUAAUAUAUAAUUCUACAUAUGUACCUUUUAUGUUGAUGUCUGUGUUUGUGAUAUAUAUUGUUCUUGUUCUGUGUGUACUUUAUGUUUUCCAGUGAAGCUGGAGGGGAAAAUACAUGACGUAUAUUACGGGUUUGCAUGUUAAGAGUUUUCACAGGUGGAUAUAAAUCUCAUCAGGCCUCUGCGUCCUCACACAAACACUAAAGUCUGAAAGGAAAUCGUUCAUCGUUUCCCCCAAAACAUAAAACAAUCUCCAAUCUGUUCUGUGGAAACACCCAGUCUUCACCUGUUUAUAAUAAUAUACAACUCCUCCAACAGUCAUUCCUGGAUUUACACCAGAAACAGCAAAAAACACAGCUUUACUUGCAAAAACAGCGAAACUAUAAUUUUUUAUUAUUCAAAAAACACUCUGCGUUGGCCGGGAAUCGAACCCGGGUCAACUGCUUGGAAGGCAGCUAUGCUAACCACUAUACCACCAACGCCACCGACGAGUGACGCCAUUGAUCAGCUGGACACAAUAAUAAAAACACGUCACUGAUCUGAUCUGAUUCUUUUUAUUUAAACAUUUAUUCAGAUUUUAUUGCAAGAAUCGAUUAUUCUUAUUAUAGAUAUAAUAAAUAAGUUUGUGCAGAAGGAAAAGCAGUGGUGGAAGAACAUCAUGCAGGGGAGGCCGUAUUUCUCGGGGACAAUUCAUGUUAGAAGAUUCUAACAAAUAUAACUAAUACAUAUGUUUUAAUGUACACAAAUGUUUUUUAAAAGUAGGUGAUUCGUGAUUAAAGUCAUGUUGUGUGUUUGUGCCAAACAGCCCCAUCACCAUGUUAAAAUGCUAUAGUUAAUGCUAGUGUGUGUGUGACAGCUAAAGUUAGCAAUUGGUAGCGAUUGUGGUCAAGCUAGCAAAUAUGAAAUAAAAUAUUAACAAAUAUAAUAUAAAAUUAUGAAAUGUGAUUCAAUGUUAAGCAACAUAAAGUGAUAUAAAUACCAUUUGUAUACUUUUACCUCGACCAUUUCCUUAAAGGGACAGUAACCACAACAGUAGCCCCCCCACCUUCGUGAUGCAAUUAUGUUAGCAAGCUACAUCACAUAUCAAAAUGUAGCUGAUUCCUGUCUACUGACUAGAAGUAAAACAUUUCCAAUAUCUCUAUCUUGACAUUUAUUGAUGACAUGAUAUUCAGACAUACAGAUUUCUACACAGCUGAAACACAUCAAACACGUUUUGCUCAGUUUUCUGUUCUCCUAAUUGUCAUGGUUUUGGGUUUUGUCCUGUUAUUUCCUGUUUUAUUUUGUAAUAUUCUCCCUCUUGUGUCUAGUAGUUUUGCUUCCUGUCUUUGAUUGCUUUCACUGGUUCCACCUGCAUCUCGUUGUCUCCCCUACCUGAGUGUGUUUCCUUUGAUCAGUGUCAGAUCAUCGUUGUACCAUGUGUCCUGCGUUUAAUCCGUAGCCCUGCAGUUUUCCUGUGCUACCUGUGGAUUUACCUUUUUUUGGACGUUUACCUGAACUUCUCAGCCGUCCUCAGUUGUUUUGUCUUCUUUCAUAGAGAAAAGAGGCCGUUGUGUGCCUCCUCGUCAAGAAACUCACUUUAUGGAAAAAUCUGAACUCCCACCAGAACUCCGAUAUAACCUGUGUACAACCUGGACCAAACUGGUGAAAAAGUAAUGAGCCCCGGCGGAGCUCCUCUCUCUGUCAGCUUCAUCAACAGCAGCUAUUUCCAUCUGUAACACAACACAAGGCCCGACCCCAGGGGCUUCUGUGGACACUCGGACACUCUGGAGGCUCUAACCAGCUUCACUAACGGCCUAAUUAGCACACUCUGCAUCACAGGGAAUCAUGGGAGGACACUCUGCUGUCGCCAUGGUUACUGCUGAAAACAGCAGCUUCAGGCCUUCAUUUGGGGUGUUUGUUUUUUAUCCUCUAGGACUUCCUUCUUGCAUCCCGUGUCAUUACAUGUUACGUGAGAUUUGAUUUUGGCCCGCUGACCCCAUUUUACUAACAGGAAGCUCAGUAAUCAUUUUGCUGACCGUACAAACAUGUUGAACUCCAUUAACUCCCUUCUGCAGUCUACUUUCCAGGGAGUCUUUGGUUUCAGUUCAUUUCUGUUUUUCCCACAGGUUUGAAAUAUACUUGGUGUUAGCAGAGGCGCGUUUAGAAACUUUUGAAUGGGGGGCGGACUGGGCCACGGAUUCAAAGAAGGGGGGCAAUGACUAAAAAGUCUCAAAUUUAAAGCCGGGUUCUCUGCAAUAAUAAACUGUACAUUAGUAAUAAUAGUAAAAAAUAAAAUCAAUAAAUGGCUGCUAUUUGUAACUCUGAGAUUAGCUUUGAAAUUGGUUCAAGAAGGGAGGAACGAUUGCAGCAACCUGUACUGUUCAAUGUACAUAUAGACAUGUGAGUGUUGUGUUUACCUCAGUGUCAUUAUUCUUUCUUUUGGCAUUUUCCGUAACUAUGUAUAAAUAAAUCAACUCGAGACAAGUUAUUACCUUCAA